rfam:Botryotinia fuckeliana BcDW1 unplaced genomic scaffold Scaffold_75, whole genome shotgun sequence.
GGGGCUGUAACUCAGUGGUAGAGUGCCUCGUUUGCAUUUCCAGUGAUCAUCACCGAUCCAUCUGAUAAAUCUCGAUGAAGUCCAGGGUUCGACUCCCUGCCGCUCCA